UAUUAAGUAGUUUGAUAAAAAAUUUAAAAAUUAUCUGCUUUAAAGCCAAUUGACAUCAGUCUUUAGUUACCAAUUCCCGAUAAAUAAUUAUGGUAAAUAAUAAACUGUGAAUUAAAUUUAUAUUGUACAACCCUGGCCUGCACGUGAGCAACUAUAUUACUGAUAUAUUUUCAGUGUGAAGGCAUGGCGUGUGAAGCUAGAUGCAUAGGAAACGAUUGUCAAGCUGGGUGUCGCAGUUUCUCUUGCAAAUAUCUCGUGAAUGGAGAUUUCAAAGAAGGUGGCGAAACCUGGUCAGAACAUUAUCCUCAAUACGAUAACGUGCCAAUGAAACAAGAAAACCAUUAUUACUAAAACAUCGCAAAAUCCAGUGACUUUUAUUUAAUAAAUGUAAAAAAUAAUCGUCAUAAUGACUUGUCUGUGCGUGUUGGAUUUAAAUUGAAAAACCACAGAUGAGA